UACGGAGGUCCCAAGCGUUGUUCGGAUUCACUGGGCGUAAAGGGUGCGUAGGCGGUCGAGUAAGUCUGACGUGAAAUCUCCGGGCCUAACCCGGAAACUGCGUUGGAAACUACUUGGCUAGAGGAAUGGAGGGGAGACUGGAAUACUUGGUGUAGCAGUGAAAUGCGUAGAUAUAGGAAGGAACACCAGUGGCGAAGGCGACCACCUGGACUGAUACUGACACUGAGGUGCGAAAGCGUGGGGAGCAAACAGG
rnacentral:rRNA from 1 species